UUUCGGUCUAAAUGUUGAGUUCAUGAUUUAGGCCCAUUGUAUAACAAUACUCUAUUUAGAGCUCUAUUACGUCAAAAAUGGUGGGGGGCAAAUAUUAGGUUUUGAGGGUGAAUUUUCAUAUUUUAAGAAUAAAAAAGUUUCUUUUUUUUCCGAUGAGUAUGCGUGAAUCUGGAAAACUACCACCAACCAAAACCCUUUCACUUCUUUGCAAACAACUCACAACCUCAUUGCUUCUUACCAAUGAACAUCAACCACUGCCAAAACCCCAUUGUCAUCUCUUUUCUUUUUUCGAUCAGUCUGUCACCGCCAAAGAUAAACCAUCAACCCUUUUGUUUCAUCUUCUCCUCUCUUUGAACACCAAAACCACCAGCCAAAGAUGAGCAGAAACUAACUCACACAACCAUCGCUCAACCCACAACAACCACUUUCAUUUCCGCCGUUUCCGGCGAAAUACCCAACCCCAAACAGCUAAUCAAACCACCCAGAACACUCAAGCUAUUGUUUUUCCUCUUUCCUUGUGGCUGCGACAAAACACCAGCUGAAACAAUCAUCAAACAAGUAGCUGAAACAACCAACAAAAUCACCCAAACACCUCCCAGAUCUUGCCCAACACCCCCAUUCCCCACCUUCUUCCGACGGAGAAAUAACAAGUGAUGACCACUGUGAGGACGACCAGAUCUAUUCGGGUUCACAUUUCCAGCAAACCCAACGAACAGAAAGCUCCAAACCACCAUGACACCAUAAACAGUGAAAAUCGUCCCAGAUAAUAGUUGGGGAUGGUAAUAACAAUGCGUAAUUUUCGUAAAUAAUUAGUAGAAGACACAGUUCCAAGAGACAUUUCAAAAAGACUACAACAACAUGUGGUUAAUAUAAAAAAAAUAAUAGACCACAUUCAACAGAAACUACAAAGGUCGACAGUUAAGAGGACACAAGGAUUCGCUCCGAGUUUGUCUAAAUUUUUAAAUGUUUUAUGUCAUAUUUGAAUGAACUACGCGUACCUGAUUCUCAUUUUAAUGAGAUACGUAGGCAACCUUUCUUGGGUUCAGUAUACAUUUUUUGAAUAGUAAAAAAAAUAAGGGAAAAGGGUUAAAUUGCCCCUGAACUAUGCAAAAUA